CUCUCGGCUCCUCUAUAAUCUUCCCCUGCCGUCUUGUUUAAAACCUCCCACUGUAACCAUGGUAACUGAGUAGCGGCGAAACACUUCAGAGAAUUCUAGGUUUCCUGAACCCGAGAGUGUCGGCGCUGAUGAUGCGUGAAUCUCGGUAUUGUACGCCUGUGUUUACGUGAUUACUGACUCAAAGAGGGUGCGUUUGGAAAAUUACAGUUUGCUCGAGUGUCAGAAAUACAAGCGUCUGAGUCAGGAGAAAACAUGGCCGCCAUGAGCCGCAGGAGCAGUGAGAUGGAGGUCAGAAAGUAGUCAGAGCAGUGAUGGAGACUCAGACGGUGGUGAAACUCUGCCAGGCAUGCUGUCUGAGGCGGAGGCAGUCGGUGACAUCAGACACACACACACACACACACACGGUCUCAUGCUGUCAUACAUCCUCAUAUUAUAUCCAUUUUGUCAGAGAUCGUAAAAGUCAGCCAGCUAACACGGGCUCUGCUGGAGUGUGUCGGGCAGAGAGAGCGAGUAUAUAUACAUGAGAGAGAGAGAGAGAGAGAGAGAGAGAGGAAGGGCAUAAGUAGUGCAUGAACAAGCAGCUGGAAUGGAAUUGACCACACUGGUGACUCAGGCAGGAUGCUUAGCUAAAUCAAUGGAGCGUAUGCGGCAGCCGCAUGGGGCAGAUCGUGCAUCUGCCCUUUAUCUGCCCUUUAUCUGCCCCUGCUGUUUAGAGUGACUCGACUCAGGUAGCCAGCGUCUGUCCAAUCCUCUGAUUCUUCUCCGAUACGAGUCUCCAGCUGGACUGCACGGCGCCUCUGUGUGUUUAUCAGCAUCGUCUGGGGCGGGACACUUAAAGGAAAACUUUUUCUCCUUCCUACCUGAUCUAUAUCUACUCUGUGUGUGUGUGUGUGUGUUUGUGUGUGUGUGUGAGAGAGAGAGAGAGAGAUUAAAAUGGACAAGAAUUAAUCACAACACACUCACCUGCAUUGAGAAAUUAAAAUGUCUCACAUAAUUGUUGCUCAAUUAGCAUAUUAAUUAGCUGCAUGAUCCCUCAGCCUUUAUUCAGAUGGGAUUAAAUGUACACAGGGUUUAUUCAUCUCAGUGAGAUUUUACAUAAAUGUCAUAAUACAAAAUAUAUAUCUAUGUUAUAUCGCUGCUACUUUGUGUAUUUUAUCUCACAGCACAUGUCAGUGUAGCUGUGUGUGUGUGUGUGUGUGUGUGUGUCGUGGUAUCAUGGUCGUAUCACACAGCCCUAACGGAUGAUGACACGAUGGAAUAUUAAAACUGAAGCGUAACUAUAUCCCAUUGCAGCUGUGGAAAGGUCAUCAACAGCUGUGUGGUGUAUACACCCCAUGGAAUAUCAGAUCACACCAUACGGUUUUUCCGCUACAUACGCUAGGAAGAAUAUUCCUGUAGUGAUGCUCUAUUCUGACUUUUCCACCUGGCGACUCCUCGACUCAUCGUCCUCGACUCAUCUUGAGUGCAUUUAUUCACCCCUAGUUCCUUAAGGAUGUUGAUGUAGAAAGAAGUUCCUUGAAAUACAUUUUCUCAAUCACAGUUAAGGAAGAGGAAAAAAUAAAUUCUGCUCCAUGUGUCUUGUUAGGAAGUGGUCUACUGACCGGAGGAAGGUUGUGUGAUCAAAUCCCAGGACCACCAAACUGACCUUGAGUAAGACCCUUACAUUCACUUCUACAGAUGGAAAUGUAAACGGAAGAUAAGACACCCAGAUAAGGGCAUCUGAACAAAAUGUUGUGAAUGUAAAACAUUAGACAUGGCUGUGUUCCAAACCCAAGCUCCAGCUGAGACAAAAUGCCACCCUGCCCUGCCCUGCUGUGCUGUUUACCCCACCGGGUGUCAUGCGCCUCCUCCAUCCAUUCCUCUUUCCCCUGAAGUUAUUUGUGCCGCAUCGCUGCCCCGGCAGCCGUUCUGUAGCAAACCACCUUCAUCUCCUAUCAACACAUAUUUCAUACCUUUCUUUCUCUUCACUCUCCUCAGAGGCUUUUGGAAGCAGACUUAAUGCACUCCAACGCCUCUCCUGCACUCCCUCUCUGCUCUUUUUCAGAUAGGCACCCUGGGCAUACAAUAGGGAGGCGAAAUAUAAUUUAGCGUCCUACAUGACAGCAGUCGAGAUGAACGAAGAGACGCUUAAGAGUUCUUAAAACUAGUUUUUUUUUUUGUUGGAAGUUUCGGACAAGUCUCUAAAAGCAACACUGAAUUUUGGAGGAUUUAACCAAUUCCUGCCCCGAGUCCUCGCUGCCUCGGGUCAUUCUGUUCAUCACACAGUUACAUCAGUGCGAACUUCUCCAGGGAGGAAACACAUAUUUACAAUCUGCGACGUAGCUGCUUUGCAUUUAUAUUACAUCCACGUUUCCUUAACCACAGGGAGACUCCACUCCGCUCUGUGAAAGAUGGAAUUAUUUUGGCUGGCGAUCACAGCGUCCCCUGCGAUAAGGACAACGCUGCGGUGUUUUUUUCCUGAUGUUUAAGCUCAGACUGCACGACAGCGAAACAGAUCUCCUAUUGCGCAUUUAUGAAACGUCUCAGUCCCCUGCGAGCGUUCUUCCAUAUCUGAGCUUUCCCAGCAUCCCUGGCUCCCGCAGCGUCCUGCCCACACAAGCGUGGGAUGGCACACAGAGUCAUUUCGACGCGUCCCCUUCAUAGCGCCUUGUGUUUAUGGGUAAUUCAUGAAUUUGAGGAGCGAAUGAGAAAACAGUUAAUAUAUACAGUAUAUGUAAUUAUUUAUACACACACACACACAGACACACACAGCAGCAUGGUUCAUGUGUGUCCUUACUUGACAAACUACUCAAUACAAGACAUGGUUUUGAUUAAAUGAGCCAAUACUUUUACAGCUCUGAAAUUUAUUUACACGCGUCUUUGCACUUUUUAACCUGGUUAUAGUUACAUUAAGGAACAUUCACUUGUUCUCAUGUACAUUAUAGCAGCUAUAAACAGUUGUAAACAGGUAGAUCUCCUCAUCCUUAUCCGUUUAUGUGGAGUGUCUGAUGUACGUGUCCCUGUGAACGAGCCGUUACCAUAGAAACGAUAAGGUGUUAAAACGUAUAACGCUGUAAAUCCUGUAUAAAGCUGUGAUGUUCAGCUGCACUACAGUCAGAGCUGCAGAUUCAGAGAAUUAAUCAACACCUCUGUCCACGCUGCCCUCUGCUACUGUUCACUCCAUCCUUAACUUUUCCCCUGGAGCUAUUUGUGCUCCUGUGGUCCACCUUCAUCUCCUUCAGAGUCCUCUGUUCUGUUCAGGUUAUUAAAUGGGAAUUUCCCAGCUUCCCGCUGCAGAUGUUCGAAGAGACGUACGCAAUGUAUGUCAAUUAAAUCUCAGCUCCAGAGGUUUAUCUUCAGAUAAGAUAAGAUUUAUCUGGCUUGGUUUGUUCUUCAGCUCGUCGAGAAAAAUCUUCACGACAUCGUAAGCAUUUUAUGAGAAGUUUAUUAAUCUCCCUGACCUUGGACGUACAGCUCUCCUAUAAAGCCGAGCGACUCUCCUGCUCCGUCUCAUCUCCACGGCGUUCUAUCGAUUCCCGGCUCUGUGGCUAGGACACGGGGGUUAUUCUUCAUGACUACGUUAAAUUACCGUGAAUUAUCGCUCUCUCAUCACGGACCUGAAACUGAAAUCAUCGAUUCGGGCGUGAAUCUGUUAGGAAAUGUGCUUCUCUCACGAGGCUUGUGUUGAACAUGUUUCUGAGAAGAUUUAGGUCAGGAAUGCAGCACUAGUGGCUGUGAUGAAAGAACUUCAAACCUGCCUGUGGCAAAAAAAUCACAAUCCUGUAAACACCUAAGCAACGGUUUUAUUGUGAAUCUGAACAUCUGAACACACACACACACACACACACACACUUUAGCUUUAGAAUCUGAACUACUUCUAGUGCAGUUUGAGGAAACAUAAUAAAUCAUCCCACAAACAACUACAUUUCAUAAGCGUCCGAUUCUCAGAUACGCAGCUUUUAAUGUUAAUGCUUUCUGAAAAGCGAAAGCAGCUGAUGCAGUGGAAUUUGGGUUUCAACACACUUCCGUCUCCGUCUGAGAAACUUGGACGGCGUAAGCGAGAGAAAGUGCUGAUAAAGCGUGGAGAUUUAAUGCAACAGUAGCACCGGGGCUCAUUUAUACUGAAGUGAGCCAGAUUUUUGCCUGACUUAGUCUAUCUAAUGGAGAUCAGAGGUUCAGUAAAGGGCAGCGCCUUAAUGAAUUAACACGGACGACUAUAAAUGUCACGUUUAAAGCUUCUUUACGUCUUCUAGAACUUCAUAUCCACAUUGUGUGUAUUGAUUGAUGGAUGCUAUUCUUUAAGGUAGGGUUUUGUGAUAUUUCAGUCCUGGAUAUGUGUCCCGAAUAGAGGGAAAGAAAUAUAACACUCUCUCUCUCUCUCUCUGUGUGUGAACCACGUUAACAUUUUAGCUAGCAUGUUAGGUAGAAGAUGGUUCUUUGAAGCGGCUCUUCAGCUCUCAUGUCCUUGAACAUGAAUUUUUUGCUGAAUAUUUUUUCUCUUCUCAUUCAAGUGUUUAGAAACAGUUUACACUCAUGAAGAAAAUUUUUGGAGGUUCUAAACCUUGGCCUAAUUUUUGGCAUUUUUUGGAAAAAAAGAAAGAAAAAAACCCCUCCACCCCUACCGUGGUUGCCGCAGGAUCACAUUUAGCCAAUUUUCAGAUUAAAAACACUUGACAGAAAAUAAUUGUGAACCGUGUAAGUGAUGGUAGUGGCAGUGCAUACAGGAGGUUUUACAUGUCAUGUAUCAUAGAUGGUAAAUGUAUGGUAAAUGUUUAAGUUUGUUGAUAAGACAUGAAAUAUUUCAGCUGUAGUGCUCCUGAGUGAGAUGCUGAUGGAUGAGAAGAAGGUGGUGAUGUUCAGAGCGCUGCUCAUGUUCUUAUUGCCAGCAUUCAUUUCACAGCAAGGGCUGUUCAGUUGCCCUGAAAUUUGGCACUGAGCGAUUGCCAUUUGAGGCACACACACACACACACACAUACACACACAUACACACACUCACCCUGACCUUCAAGAUGUCCAGCCUG